GGACUACAGGGGUAUCUAAUCCUGUUUGCUCCCCACGCUUUCGCACAUGAGCGUCAAUGCCAGACCAGGUAGUCGCCUUCGCCACUGGUGUUCUUCCGAAUAUCUACGAAUUUCACCUCUACACUCGGAAUUCCACUACCCUCUUCUGGAUUCUAGUCUGCCAGUCUUAAAAGCAAUUCUCAGGUUAAGCCCAAGGCUUUCACUUCUAAUUUAACAGACCGCCUGCGUGCGCUUUACGCCCAGUAAUUCCGAACAACGCUAGCCCCCUUCGUAUUACCGCGGCUGCUGGCAC
rnacentral:rRNA from 1 species